rnacentral:ncRNA from 2 species
UCCGGCAUUAAUGCAUGUCUCCCAAAAGUGGGAACCGGUUUUGGGAUAAAGACAUGCAUGGAAACUAAAGCUUAAAGCGUGUCAUACGAGUACGAUAAAAUGCGACACGCUGUUAAAGCUUAUACGCAUUAUAAAACAGGCAUUUACCGAGGCCCCGAAACCAGCCGUUCCGGGGCCUCGUUUUCAUUG